rnacentral:rRNA from 1 species
AACGAACGCUGGCGGCAGGCUUAACACAUGCAAGUCGAACGCGAAAUCGCCUUCGGGUGGUGGAGAGUGGCAGACGGGUGAGUAACGCGUGGGAACCUACCUAGUGGUACGGAAUAACUCAGGGAAACUUGGGCUAAUACCGUAUGUGCCCGAAAGGGGAAAGAUACAUCGCCACUAGAUGGGCCCGCGUCGGAUUAGCUUGUUGGUGAGGUAACGGCUCACCAAGGCGACGAUCCGUAGCUGGUCUGAGAGGAUGAUCAGCCACACUGGGACUGAGACACGGCCCAGACUCCUACGGGAGGCAGCAGUGGGGAAUAUUGGACAAUGGGCGCAAGCCUGAUCCAGCCAUGCCGCGUGAGUGAUGAAGGCCCUAGGGUUGUAAAGCUCUUUCGGCGGGGACGAUAAUGACGGUACCCGCAGAAGAAGCCCCGGCUAACUUCGUGCCAGCAGCCGCGGUAA